UACUCUGUAGCUCAGUGGUUAGAGCAUCCGACCUGUGUUACGGAAGGUUAUGGGUUCAAAUCCUGUCGGGGACUCAG